rnacentral:rRNA from 1 species
AUUGAACGCUGGCGGCAAGCCUAACACAUGCAAGUCGAACGAGUGGCGGACGGGUGAGUAAUGUCUGGGAAACUGCCUGAUGGAGGGGGAUAACUACUGGAAACGGUAGCUAAUACCGCAUACCAUCGGAUGUGCCCAGAUGGGAUUAGCUAGUAGGUGGGGUAAAGGCUCACCUAGGCGACGAUCCCUAGCUGGUCUGAGAGGAUGACGAGCCACACUGGAACGGAGAGAGGGCCCAGACGCCGACGGGAGGCAGCAGUGGGGAAUAUUGCGCAAGGGGGGCAAGCCUGAUGCAGCCAUGCCGCGUGUAUGAAGAAGGCCUUCGGGUUGUAAAGUACGUUCAGCGGGGAGGCGUUACCCGCAGAAGAAGCACCGGCUAACUCCGUGCCAGCAGCCGCGGUAAUAC